AUUGAACGCUGGCGGCAUGCCUUACACAUGCAAGUCGAACGGUAACGGGCCUUCGGGUGCCGACGAGUGGCGAACGGGUGAGUAAUACAUCGGAACGUGCCCGAUCGUGGGGGAUAACGAGGCGAAAGCUUUGCUAAUACCGCAUACGAUCUACGGAUGAAAGCAGGGGACCGCAAGGCCUUGCGCGGACGGAGCGGCCGAUGGCAGAUUAGGUAGUUGGUGGGAUAAAAGCUUACCAAGCCGACGAUCUGUAGCUGGUCUGAGAGGAUGAUCAGCCACACUGGGACUGAGACACGGCCCUGACUCCUACGGGAGGCAGCAGUGGGGAAUUUUGGACAAUGGGCGCAAGCCUGAUCCAGCCAUGCCGCGUGCAGGAUGAAGGCCUUCGGGUUGUAAACUGCUUUCGUACGGAACGAAAAGCCUUCUUCUAAUACAGGAGGGUCAUGACGGUACCGUAAGAAUAAGCACCGGCUAACUACGUGCCAGCCGCCGCGGUAA
rnacentral:rRNA from 1 species